rnacentral:miRNA from 1 species
UGAGAUCAUGUUACAUCCGACU